rnacentral:rRNA from 1 species
GAUGAACGCUAGCGGCAGGCUUAACACAUGCAAGUCGAGGGGCAGCACGUCUUCGGAUGGUGGCGACCGGCGCACGGGUGCGUAACGCGUAUAGAACCUACCUUUUACAGGGGAAUAGCCCAGAGAAAUUUGGAUUAAUGCCCCAUAGUAUUAUUAGAUGGCAUCAUUUGAUAAUUAAACAUUUAUGGGUAAAAGAUGGCUAUGCGUUCUAUUAGCUAGAUGGUAAGGUAACGGCUUACCAUGGCGACGAUAGAUAGGGGUCCUGAGAGGGAGAUCCCCCACACUGGUACUGAGACACGGACCAGACUCCUACGGGAGGCAGCAGUGAGGAAUAUUGGACAAUGGGCGAGAGCCUGAUCCAGCCAUGCCGCGUGCAGGAAGACGGUCCUAUGGAUUGUAAACUGC